rnacentral:rRNA from 1 species
UGGGGAAUAUUGCACAAUGGAGGGAACUCUGAUGCAGCGACGCCGCGUGAACGAAGAAGGCUUUCGAGUCGUAAAGUUCUUUUAUAUGGGAAGAUAAUGACGGUACCAUAAGAAAAAGCCCCGGCUAACUACGUGCCAGCAGCCGCGGUAAUACGUAGGGGGCUAGCGUUGUCCGGAAUCACUGGGCGUAAAGGGUUCGCAGGCGGAAAUGCAAGUCAGGUGUGAAAGGCAGUAGCUUAACUACUGUAAGCAUUUGAAACUGCAUAUCUUGUGAAGAGUAGAAGUAAGUGGAAUUUUUAGUGUAGCGGUGAAAUGCGUGGAUAUUAAAAAGAAUACCGGUGGCGAAGGCGACUUACUGGGCUCAUUCUGACGCUGAGGAACGAAAGCGUGGGUAGCAAACAGG